UACCAGCACCCCGAGUGGUCGGGACGAUUAUUGGGCCUAAAGCAUCCGUAGCCGGUUUUACAAGUCCUCCGUUUAAUCCAACUGCUUAACAGAUGGGCUGCGGAGGAUACUACAAGGCUAGGAGGCGGAAGAGGCAAGCGGUACUCAGUGGGUAGGGGUAAAAUCCUCUGAUCCAUUGAAGACCACCAGUGGCGAAGGCGGCUUGCCAAUACGCGCUCGACGGUGAGGGAUGAAAGCUGGGGGAGCAAACCGG
rnacentral:rRNA from 1 species